UGGCUAUCAACAGAGAGAAGCGAAGCCGCGAGGCGGAGCAAACCUCAGAAAAAUAGUCUCGGUUCGGAUCGCAGGCUGCAACCCGCCUGCGUGAAGCCGGAAUUGCUAGUAAUCGCGGAUCAGCAUGCCGCGGUGAAUACGUUCCCGGGCCUUGUACACACCGCCCGUCACACCAUGAGAGCCGGGGGACCCGAAGUCCGUAGCCUAACCGGAAAGGGGGCGCGGCCGAAGGUAAAACUGGUGAUUGGGGUGAAGUCGUAACAAGGUAAC
rnacentral:rRNA from 1 species